rnacentral:rRNA from 1 species
UGGGGAAUAUUGCACAAUGGGCGCAAGCCUGAUGCAGCCAUGCCGCGUGUGUGAAGAAGGCCUUCGGGUUGUAAAGCACUUUCAGCGAGGAGGAAGGUGGUGAACUUAAUACGUUCAUCAAUUGACGUUACUCGCAGAAGAAGCACCGGCUAACUCCGUGCCAGCAGCCGCGGUAAUACGGAGGGUGCAAGCGUUAAUCGGAAUUACUGGGCGUAAAGCGCACGCAGGCGGUUUGUUAAGUCAGAUGUGAAAUCCCCGGGCUCAACCUGGGAACUGCAUUUGAAACUGGCAAGCUAGAGUCUCGUAGAGGGGGGUAGAAUUCCAGGUGUAGCGGUGAAAUGCGUAGAGAUCUGGAGGAAUACCGGUGGCGAAGGCGGCCCCCCUGGACGAAGACUGACGCUCAGGUGCGAAAGCGUGGGGCAGCAAACAGGAUUAGAUA